AUCUUCAGCUUGCUGCUGAGCUUGGGAAGACAUUACUGGAUCGGAACACAGAGUUGGAGGACUCUCUUCAGCAGAUGUAUACAACCA
rnacentral:sRNA from 1 species